AUUUAUAUAGUUUAUAACAAAACAUUUCAUUUUCAAUGAAAAAAUAAAUUUUAUUUUAUAAAUA
rnacentral:tRNA from 1 species